rnacentral:rRNA from 1 species
AGUGAACACUGGCGGUAGGCCUAACACAUGCAAGUCGAACGGCAGCACAGUAAGAGCUUGCUCUUACGGGUGGCGAGUGGCGGACGGGUGAGGAAUACAUCGGAAUCUACUUUUUCGUGGGGGAUAACGUAGGGAAACUUACGCUAAUACCGCAUACGACCUACGGGUGAAAGCAGGGGAUCUUCGGACCUUGCGCGAUUGAAUGAGCCGAUGUCGGAUUAGCUAGUUGGCGGGGUAAAGGCCCACCAAGGCGACGAUCCGUAGCUGGUCUGAGAGGAUGAUCAGCCACACUGGAACUGAGAAACGGUCCAGACUCCUACGGGAGGCAGCAGUGGGGAAUAUUGGACAAUGGGCGCAAGCCUGAUCCAGCCAUACCGCGUGGGUGAAGAAGGCCUUCGGGUUGUAAAGCCCUUUUGUUGGGAAAGAAAAGCAGCAGGUUAAUACCCCGCUGUUCUGACGGUACCCAAAGAAUAAGCACCGGCUAACUUCGUG